AGUGAACGCUGGCGGCAGGCCUAAUACAUGCAAGUCGAACGGCAGCACAGCAGAGCUUGCUCUGUGGGUGGCGAGUGGCGGACGGGUGAGGAAUACAUGGGAAUCUGCCCAGUCGUGGGGGAUAACGCAUGGAAACGUACGCUAAUACCGCAUGCGCCCUACGGGGGAAAGUCGGGGACCGCAAGGCCUGACGCGAUUGGAUGAGCCCAUGUUCGAUUAGCUAGUUGGCGGGGUAAAGGCCCACCAAGGCGACGAUCGAUAGCUGGUCUGAGAGGAUGAUCAGCCACACUGGAACUGAGACACGGUCCAGACUCCUACGGGAGGCAGCAGUAGGGAAUAUUGGACAAUGGGGGCAACCCUGAUCCAGCCAUGCCGCGUGAGUGAAGAAGGCCCUCGGGUUGUAAAGCUCUUUUGUCCGGAAAGAAAGCAUCUGGUUAAUACCCGGGU
rnacentral:rRNA from 1 species